rnacentral:tRNA from 2 species
CGGGGCGUGGCUCAGUUUGGUAGAGCGCUACCUUGGGGUGGUAGAGGCCGUGGGUUCAAAUCCCGCCGCUCCGACCA